AGCUAAACUAGGAUUAGAUACCCUAUUAUUUUAAAUAUAAAUAAAUUAAAGCUGGGGUAGUAAUAGUUAAGAUCUUGAAACUCAAAGAAUCUGGCGGUGCUUUAGUCUAUUCAGAGGAAUCUGUCCCAUAAUCGAUAAUUCACGAUUGACUUUACUUAUUUUUGUUGUUUCAAUUUGUAUACCGCCGUCAUCAGAAUAUUUUUUUAGAAAAUUAAUUUUCUAUGUUUUUAAUUAAGUUAUAUGUCAGGUCAAGGUGCAGUUUAUAAAUAAGAGGAGAUGGAUUACAAUAAAUUUAUUUAUUAUGGAUAAGGAAUUGAAAAUAUCUUUUGAAGGUGGAUUUGAAAGUAAUUUUAUUUUAAUAGUAAGAUGAUUUUAGCUCUAAAGCAUGUACACAUCGCCCGUCGCUCUU
rnacentral:rRNA from 1 species